GCAGCACGGGUGCUUGCACCUGGUGGCGAGUGGCGAACGGGUGAGUAAUACAUCGGAACGUACCUUAUCGUGGGGGAUAACGCAGCGAAAGUUGCGCUAAUACCGCAUACGCCCUGAGGGGGAAAGCGGGGGACCGUAAGGCCUCGCGCGAUUAGAGCGGCCGAUGUCUGAUUAGCUUGUUGGUGAGGUAAAAGCUCACCAAGGCGAUGAUCAGUAGCUGGUCUGAGAGGACGAUCAGCCACACUGGGACUGAGACACGGCCCAGACUCCUACGGGAGGCAGCAGUGGGGAAUUUUGGACAAUGGGGGCAACCCUGAUCCAGCAAUGCCGCGUGAGUGAAGAAGGCCUUCGGGUUGUAAAGCUCUUUUGUCAGGGAAGAAACAGCAGCUCUAACACAGUCUGCGAAUGACGGUACCUGAAGAAUAAGCACCGGCUAACUACGUGCCAGCAGCCGCGGUAAUACGUAGGGUGCGAGCGUUAAUCGGAAUUACUGGGCGUAAAGCGUGCGCAGGCGGUUAUACAAGACAGGCGUGAAAUCUCCGGGCUUAACCUGGGAAUGGCGUCUGUGACUGUAUAGCUAGAGUGUGUCAGAGGGGGGUGGAAUUCCACGUGUAGCAGUGAAAUGCGUAGAUAUGUGGAGGAACACCAAUGGCGAAGGCAGCCCCCUGGGAUAACACUGACGCUCAUGCACGAAAGCGUGGGGAGCAAACAGGAUUAGAUACCCUNNAGUCCACGCCCUAAACGAUGCUGACUAGUUGUUGGGAAUUUACAUUCUCAGUAACGUAGCUAACGCGUGAAGUCAGCCGCCUGGGGAGUACGGUCGCAAGAUUAAAACUCAAAGGAAUUGACGGGGAC
rnacentral:rRNA from 1 species